rnacentral:lncRNA from 1 species
GAACCCGAUCCAAGCACAAAAAACCCUACCCAUUCCUAAUUUCAACUAUUUUUCAAUGUUCCAAACAACUUAACCCGACCCAUCCUUCUUUUUCUUCACUAAAAGGUAAGAACCUUGAUUUUAACUCCCUGUGCGUGUCUCUCCUUCGCGCUUCCAAACAACGCGAUCCAACCCUCUAGUUCUCUCCUCCGUAAUACGUGAAACCCAACAAAGAGGCACGCCAAAAGCAGCAGCAAGGACAUGCGCAGCGGUACCAAGUAUAAUCUCCUUGUAUUUUUCCUCGAUGUCCCUCUCAAUUAGUACCAUCGUAGCAGAAAAAUAAUAGGAGCACAUGAAAUUGUCCUUAGCGUGAUAUAGCUCCACGUAUCAUCUCAAGGAAAAGAUAUUGAUCCCAGCCAUCAAUUCUUUCUUUCCUCUUCCGAAAUGGGUCAAAACUUCAAAAAAAAAAGUUACUUGUCCAAAAGGGUGAAAGAUUUUGAGUUUUGAGUUUUGAUUUUGGGCCUUUCAGUCCGUAGUGUUUUUCGUCCGUUCCCCCCCAACCCCGCCCCAAUUUGCCAUAAUUCUUAGACUAUAAAUAUGCUAUUUCUUUUUCUUUUGGAGGUUGUUCAGUGUUGGGAGAAAAGGAGAUUUAGGACAGAAAAUGAUUUUUUGAAAAUCUUGGAUCGAUAAUACAUACAGCUUAAGGUGAAAUAGUUGAAAUACACACUUAGUGCUUCAAAGAAAACAGAGGAGAUAGUUUGUUCAGUUUUGAGAUUUAUAUCUCUGUAAAAACGUCCAAUUACUGUUCGUCUCUGUGCUCAUGUGGUGAAGGUCUUCGCUGCCUGCUCACUCAUUCAAAAUCACUGCACAUGAAAAGGUUCCAGUCGUUGAAGUGCUUUUGAAGAUGACUUGAUAUUAAUCCAAGUAGGGUUGGUCCUCACUUUCCGAGGGCAAGGUUAAUAUCAAGCUAUGAUAUUAUUCUAUUAUUAAACUCUCAUGUUUCUUUCCUUUUUAUGUAGUAUGGAAUAUUGUAUAGCCCCUGUGAGGCAUUCUUACUUUAACGUAUGGACUAUGCCCAAGUUCUUACACUCUUAUUAGAUUGUUAUGAGAUGAGAUGACUAUUAUGACUAUGUUAUAUAUAUAUGUGUGUGUGUGUGUGUGUGUGUGUGUGUGCGCAAUAGAAGUAUAAAACU